UGAAGGAGGAGGAGCCUUGUGGGAGAGAGAGAAUUAUGGCGAGGAAGGAAGGAUCCUAGGGAGGGUGAAUCAUUGCUAUGAGGUCUUGGAGAGUUUCAGUGCCCUAAAUAAUAGAAAAAUAACUCAUUUGCUGAUUGGGGGAAAAAAUAGAACCUGAUUCAACUGAAUUACAGAAAAUUGCGCACCAUAAAGCUUCAAAGGUACUGAAAGUUGUAUUAAGUUGCAUUCAUUUCUGAGAGACAACAGCAUUCAAGUUCAUCUAGAAGAGAAUUCCAGGAUUCUUCAGGUUGAAAACUAAGAAAAGAAUUCGUCAUAAAGCUUUGGGAAAAGAGGAUGUAUCCCUGACCAUGGAAGAGUUAGCCAGACGACAAAACAAAUAUCUAAGGACACCCUCAAACAUGGAGAGCUGCCAGGUCCAAUUAAGAUGGGUCCCAGCCGUGAAUAGUCACUAAUAAAAUGAUUUGGGAAUAAGCAAAGUUCUGGGUCCCCUUAGAGGAUAGGAAUGCUGAGAAAGUUGGGAGUUUUAUA